rnacentral:rRNA from 1 species
GAGUUUGAUCCUGGCUCAGAACGUACGCUGGCGGCACGCCUAACACAUGCAAGUCGAACGAAGUAGCAAUACUUAGUGGCAGACGGGUGAGUAACAUGUAGGUAUCUGCCCUUUGGCCUGGAAUAACACGAGGAAACUUGUGCUAAUACCGGAUAAGUCUUUACAGAGAAAGCUUUAUGCACCAUUGGAUGAGCCUGCACUUGAUUAGUUUGUUGGUAGGGUAAUGGCCUACCAAGACUGUGAUCAAUAGCUGAUUUGAGAGGAUGAUCAGCCACAUUGGGACUGAGACACGGCCCAAACUCCUACGGGAGGCAGCAGUGGGGAAUCUUGCACAAUGGAGGAAACUCUGAUGCAGCGAUGCCGCGUGAGUGAAGAAGGCCUUUGGGUUGUAAAGCUCUUUCGUCGGGGAAGAAAAUGACUGUACCCGAAUAAGAAGGUCCGGCUAACUUCGUGCCAGCAGCCGCGGUAAUACGAAGGGACCUAGCGUAGUUCGGAAUUACUGGGCUUAAAGAGUUCGUAGGUGGUUGAAAAAGUUGGUGGUGAAAUCCCAGAGCUUAACUCUGGAACUGCCAUCAAAACUUUUCAGCUAGAGUUUGAUAGAGGAAAGCAGAAUUUCUAGUGUAGAGGUGAAAUUCGUAGAUAUUAGAAAGAAUACCAAUUGCGAAGGCAGCUUUCUGGAUCAUUACUGACACUGAGGAACGAAAGCAUGGGUAGCGAAGAGGAUUAGAUACCCUCGUAGUCCAUGCCGUAAACGAUGUGUGUUAGACGUUGGAAAUUUAUUUUCAGUGUCGCAGCGAAAGCGAUAAACACACCGCCUGGGGAGUACGACCGC